UCAAUCUGCUCUCGGCCCUGCUCUCCUGCCUGGGGGUGCUGGCGGGGGUCGCCCUGGGCCGCAGCGGGACCCCCCUCGCCCCCUGGCUCCUCACCGCCACCGCCGGCAUCUUCCUCUACGUGGCUCUGGCCGACAUGCUCCCCGAGGCGCUGCGAGGCUCGGCCGAGGGCGGCUGGAGCCGCUUGGUGCUGCAGAACGCGGGGUUCCUGCUGGGCGCGGGCAUCAUGCUGGGCAUCGCGCUGGCCGAGGGGCACCUCCGCUCCUGGCUGCAGCCCUGAGCCCGGCCCCAGCCCGGGACUGCAUCUUCCUCCUCCUCCAGACCCCCAGGGGUCCCCGAGGGAGGGCACGCGGGGGUCCCCUCGCUGCCCCGGGCUGGACACGCGGCUCCGAGCCCCGGCGGGUUCCCCCCGGCUCAACCUCCGGAGGAGCUGAGGAAGGACAGCAGCCCCCAGGGCAAGAGCGGUUUAAUAAAGAGAAUUGAUCCACAACCGCAAUAAAAAAAAACCCCAAAAAAACCACGAUUUGGUCACAGUUUACAGGGUAUAAAAUG